rnacentral:rRNA from 1 species
UACGUAGGGGGCAAGCGUUGUCCGGAAUUAUUGGGCGUAAAGAGCUCGUAGGCGGUGUGUCGCGUCGGCCGUGAAAACCUGCAGCUUAACUGUGGGCUUGCGGUCGAUACGGGCAUCACUGGAGUUCGGCAGGGGAGACUGGAAUUCCUGGUGUAGCGGUGAAAUGCGCAGAUAUCAGGAGGAACACCGGUGGCGAAGGCGGGUCUCUGGACAGUUCCUGACGCUGAGGCACGAAGGUCAGGGGAGCAAACGGG